rnacentral:ncRNA from 1 species
AGGUGGGGAGUUGUCACUUGUCAGAUGGUGAAACAGGCGUCCUGAGGGAAGUUCAGGGAGGACAGAAAGCUCCCCGUGGAGCAGAAGGGCAAAAGUUCACUUGAUCUCGAUCGUCCGUGUGAAUACAGACCGUAAAAAUUGGGGUCUCGUGAUCCUUUUGACAUGUUAUGUUUCAUAACCUUCAUACCUUCACUGUUAGGUUUUCGUACCAAGUCAGACAGGUUAGAG